UUUUACCUACGGGAGGCAGCAGUGGGGGAUAUUGCACAAUGGGGGAAACCCUGAUGCAGCGACGCCGCGUGUGGGAAGACGGUCCUCUGGAUUGUAAACCACUGUCCCCAGGGACGAAGUAAGUGACGGUACCUGAGGAAUAAGCCACGGCUAACUACGUGCCAGCAGCCGCGGUAAUACGUAGGGGGCAAGCGUUAUCCGGAUUUACUGGGUGUAAAGGGGGCGCAGACGGCGAUGCAAGCCAGGAGUGAAAGCCCGGGGCCCAACCCCGGGACUGCUCUUGGAACUGCGUGGCUGGAGUGCAG
rnacentral:rRNA from 1 species